GAUGAACGCUAGCUACAGGCUUAACACAUGCAAGUCGAGGGGCAGCAUUUUAGUUUGCUUGCAAACUAAAGAUGGCGACCGGCGCACGGGUGAGUAACACGUAUCCAACCUGCCGAUAACUCGGGGAUAGCCUUUCGAAAGAAAGAUUAAUAUCCGAUAGUAUAUUAAAUCCGCAUGGUUUUACUAUUAAAGAAUUUCGGUUAUCGAUGGGGAUGCGUUCCAUUAGUUUGUUGGCGGGGUAACGGCCCACCAAGACUACGAUGGAUAGGGGUUCUGAGAGGAAGGUCCCCCACAUUGGAACUGAGACACGGUCCAAACUCCUACGGGAGGCAGCAGUGAGGAAUAUUGGUCAAUGGACGAGAGUCUGAACCAGCCAAGUAGCGUGAAGGAUGACUGCCCUAUGGGUUGUAAACUUCUUUUAUAUGGGAAUAAAGUAUUCCACGUGUGGAAUUUUGUAUGUACCAUAUGAAUAAGGAUCGGCUAACUCCGUGCCAGCAGCCGCGGUAAUACGGAGGAUCCGAGCGUUAUCCGGAUUUAUUGGGUUUAAAGGGAGCGUAGGUGGAUUGUUAAGUCAGUUGUGAAAGUUUGCGGCUCAACCGUAAAAUUGCAGUUGAAACUGGCAGUCUUGAGUACAGUAGAGGUGGGCGGAAUUCGUGGUGUAGCGGUGAAAUGCUUAGAUAUCACGAAGAACUCCGAUAGGGAAGGCAGCUCACUAGACUGCAACUGACACUGAUCCUCAAAAGUGUGGGUAUCAAACAGG
rnacentral:rRNA from 1 species